GGGCCCGCACAAGCAGUGGAGUAUGUGGUUUAAUUCGAAGCAACGCGAAGAACCUUACCAGGUCUUGACAUCGAGUGACGAACUAAGAGAUUAGUUCUUCCUUCGGGACACAAAGACAGGUGGUGCAUGGUUGUCGUCAGCUCGUGUCGUGAGAUGUUGGGUUAAGUCCCGCAACGAGCGCAACCCUUACCAUUAGUUGCUACGCAAGAGCACUCUAAUGGGACUGCCGUUGACAAAACGGAGGAAGGUGGGGAUGACGUCAAAUCAUCAUGCCCCUUAGGACCUGGGCUACACACGUACUACAAUGGCAAUCAAACAGAGGGAAGCAAAGCAGUGAUGUUAAGCAAAUCCCAAAAAAUUGUCUCAGUUCGGAUUGUAGGCUGCAACUCGCCUACAUGAAGUCGGAAUUGCUAGUAAUCGCGAAUCAGCAUGUCGCGGUGAAUACGUUCCCGGGCCUU
rnacentral:rRNA from 1 species